GACGAACGCUGUUGGCGUGCUUAACACAUGCAAGUCGAACGGAAAGGCCCUGCUUUUGUGGGGUGCUCGAGUGGCGAACGGGUGAGUAACACGUGAGUAACCUGCCCUUGACUUUGGGAUAACUUCAGGAAACUGGGGCUAAUACCGGAUAGGAGCUCCUGCUGCAUGGUGGGGGUUGGAAAGUUUCGGCGGUUGGGGAUGGACUCGCGGCUUAUCAGCUUGUUGGUGGGGUAGUGGCUUACCAAGGCUUUGACGGGUAGCCGGCCUGAGAGGGUGACCGGCCACAUUGGGACUGAGAUACGGCCCAGACUCCUACGGGAGGCAGCAGUGGGGAAUAUUGCACAAUGGGCGGAAGCCUGAUGCAGCAACGCCGCGUGCGGGAUGACGGCCUUCGGGUUGUAAACCGCUUUCGCCUGUGACGAAGCGUGAGUGACGGUAAUGGGUAAAGAAGCACCGGCUAACUACGUGCCAGCAGCCGCGGUGAUACGUAGGGUGCGAGCGUUGUCCGGAUUUAUUGGGCGUAAAGGGCUCGUAGGUGGUUGAUCGCGUCGGAAGUGUAAUCUUGGGGCUUAACCCUGAGCGUGCUUUCGAUACGGGGUUGACUUGAGGAAGGUAGGGGGAGAAUGGAAUUCCUGGUGGAGCGGUGGAAUGCGCAGAUAUCAGGAGGAACACCAGUGGCGAAGGCGGUUCUCUGGGCCUUUCCUGACGCUGAGGAGCGAAAGCGUGGGGAGCGAACAGGCUUAGAUACCCUGGUAGUCCACGCUGUAAACGGUGGGUACUAGGUGUGGGGUCCGUUCCACGGGUUCCGUGCCGUAGCUAACGCUUUAAGUACCCCGCCUGGGGAGUACGGCCGCAAGGCUAAAACUCAAAGGAAUUGACGGGGCCCCGCACAAGCGGCGGAGCAUGCGGAUUAAUUCGAUGCAACGCGUAGAACCUUACCUGGGUUUGACAUGGAUCGGGAGUGCUCAGAGAUGGGUGUGCCUCUUUUGGGGUCGGUUCACAGGUGGUGCAUGCCUGUCGUCAGCUCGUGUCGUGAGAUGUUGGGUUAAGUCCCGCAACGAGCGCAACCCUUGUUCACUGUUGCCAGCACGUUAUGGUGGGGACUCAGUGGAGACCGCCGGGGUCAACUCGGAGGAAGGUGGGGAUGACGUCAAGUCCUCAUGCCCCUUAUGUCCAGGGCUUCACGCAUGCUACAAUGGCUGGUACAGAGAGUGGCGAGCCUGUGAGGGUGAGCGAAUCUCGGAAAGCCGGUCUCAGUUCGGAUUGGGGUCUGCAACUCGACCUCAUGAAGUCGGAGUCGCUAGUAAUCGCAGAUCAGCAACGCUGCGGUGAAUACGUUCCCGGGGCU
rnacentral:rRNA from 1 species